UACGUAGGGUGCAAGCGUUAAUCGGAAUUACUGGGCGUAAAGCGUGCGCAGGCGGCUCGGAAAGAAAGAUGUGAAAUCCCAGGGCUUAACCUUGGAACUGCAUUUGUGACUGCAAGGCUGGAGUGCGGCAGAGGGGGAUGGAAUUCCGCGUGUAGCAGUGAAAUGCGUAGAGAUGUGGAGGAACACCGAUGGCGAAGGCAGCCCCCUGGGUCAAGACUGACGCUCAUGCACGAAAGCGUGGGGAGCAAACAGG
rnacentral:rRNA from 1 species